UUGAUCCUGGCUCAGAAUCAACGCUGGCGGCGUGCCUAACACAUGCAAGUCGAACGCGAAAAGGGCUUCGGCUCUUAGUAGAGUGGCGAACGGGUGAGUUACACGUGGGUGACCUACCUUCGAAUGGGGGAUAACGUCCCGAAAGGGACUCUAAUACCGCAUAACAUCCUGCUUUUGAACAGGUGGAGAUCAAAGCCGGUGAUCGCAAGACCUGGCGUUUGAAGAGGGGCCCGCGUCUGAUUAGCUAGUUGGUGAGGUAACGGCCCACCAAGGCGACGAUCAGUAUCCGGCCUGAGAGGUCGGACGGACACACUGGGACUGAGACACGGCCCAGACUCCUACGGGAGGCUGCAGUGGGGAAUUGUUCGCAAUGGGCGCAAGCCUGACGACGCAACGCCGUGUGGAGGAUGAAGGUCUUCGGAUUGUAAACUCCUGUUGCUCGGGACGAAUAGCUUCGACCUAACACGUCGAAGUCUGACGGUACCGGGUGAGGAAGCCCUGGCUAACUCUGUGCCAGCAGCCGCGGUAAUAAGGU
rnacentral:rRNA from 1 species